rnacentral:rRNA from 1 species
GACGAACGCUGGCGGCGUGCCUAAUACAUGCAAGUCGAACGAACUGACGAGGAGCUUGCUCCUUUGAAGUUAGUGGCGGACGGGUGAGUAACACGUGGGUAACCUGCCUCACAGCUGGGGAUAACAUCGAGAAAUCGAUGCUAAUACCGAAUGUGCUGAACAUCAUAAGAUGUUCAAGUGAAAGACGGUUUCGGCUGUCACUGUGAGAUGGACCCGCGCUGGAUUAGCUAGUUGGUAAGGUAAUGGCUUACCAAGGCGACGAUCCAUAGCCGACCUGAGAGGGUGAUCGGCCACAUUGGGACUGAGACACGGCCCAAACUCCUACGGGAGGCAGCAGUAGGGAAUCUUCGGCAAUGGACGAAAGUCUGACCGAGCAACGCCGCGUGAGCGAAGAAGGCCUUCGGGUCGUAAAGCUCUGUUGUUAGAGAAGAACAAGGGUGAGAGUAACUGUUCACCCCUUGACGGUAUCUAACCAGAAAGCCACGGCUAACUACGUGCCAGCCGCCGC